rnacentral:rRNA from 1 species
GUGGGGAAUCUUGCGCAAUGGGCGAAAGCCUGACGCAGCCAUGCCGCGUGGAUGAUGAAGGUCUUAGGAUUGUAAAAUCCUUUCACCGGUGAAGAUAAUGACUGUAGCCGGAGAAGAAGCCCCGGCUAACUUCGUGCCAGCAGCCGCGGUAAUACGAAGGGGGCUAGCGUUGCUCGGAUUUACUGGGCGUAAAGGGCGCGUAGGCGGACAUUUAAGUCAGGGGUGAAAUCCCGGGGCUCAACCUCGGAACUGCCUUUGAUACUGGGUGUCUUGAGUAUGAGAGAGGUGUGUGGAACUCCGAGUGUAGAGGUGAAAUUCGUAGAUAUUCGUAAGAACACCAGUGGCGAAGGCGACACACUGGCUCAUUACUGACGCUGAGGCGCGAAAGCGUGGGGAGCAAACAGGAUUAGAAACCCUGGUAGUCC